AAGUCGUAACAAGGUUUCCGUAGGUGAACCUGCGGAAGGAUCAUUAUCGUAUAAACUUGAACAGGCUGUUGCUGGCCCUCCGGGGUGUCGUGCACGCUUGUCUCAUCUUUGUCAUUUCUUCCAACUGUGCACAUUUUGUAGAUCCUGGAAAUGGGAGAGCUCCAUGAACUUGUGUUCGAGUCGGGAAUUGCUGUUGCUUUUUUCUUAGGCCGGCUUUUCCUUGUACCUUUCCCCCAGGUCUAUGUCAUUUUAUCACAAUCUCUCGAGUAUGUUCAGAAUGUCGUUGGAAUAUAAUAUAAUAUAUACAACUUUCAGCAACGGAUCUCUUGGCUCUC
rnacentral:misc_RNA from 1 species